rnacentral:piRNA from 1 species
UUCCGGUGGAGAAGUCUGGAGACGACGUUC